AUGAUGGAAUUACUGAUUAAUGAAUCAAGAUUCUGUGCAACUGCAUUUUGCACAAAGAGUACUGUCACUGCUUCUUUCCUCUUUCAUUCAUUCAGACUUGCUGAAUUACACUUGUGCGACCUGUCACCUCAGCUACUUUCAUUUUUUUUCUUCAUUUCUCAUUCUCACAUUGUCCUUUUGUCCUCCUCUGCUUACCGUAGGGCAACCACACAGAUCUCUGCAGCAGCACCAGCAGUCUGCCUUCAGCCAGACUACAAAAUGGACGGGGGUCACUGCAUGAAGAAAGUUCAUACUCUGCCACUAGGCGUUUCAGUGGCUCCAGCACUAGAGGCGUGGAGGAAAGGUCAGAUUUCCUGGAAAAAGGGUCCAGGACAGCCUCCACCCUCUCUGCUGCAACUCUAGCAUCCCUUGGUGGAGGUUUAUCACGAAGAGGAAGCUGUGAUACCUCGAUUUCAGUGGACACUGAGGCCUCCAUACGGGAAAUGAAGGUAAUUGAAGGUGUAUUUAUAAUACUGUGUUAUAAUGACCAUGGUCUGUAUGUAAUUUCAUAAUUUUUGUUUGUCUGCUCUCAGGACUCCCUGGUGGAGGUGGAGGAGAAAUACCGUAAGGCAAUGGUGUCCAAUGCUCAGCUGGACAAUGAGAAGACAAACCUGAUGUAUCAGGUGGACACACUGAGAGAUACUCUGAUGGAGCUGGAGGAAUUUCUGUGUGAGACACGCAGAGAGUGUGAGGAGAAAAUCAGAGUAAGGGCUGUCAAGUGGUGAAAUCACUUUUUUUUUUUUUUAAAUCCUCUAGAAUAAUUGACCCUUGUACAAAUGACUAAUUGUUUUGAUUUUGUUCAAUACAAAAUAUG
ensembl:lncRNA